rnacentral:rRNA from 1 species
GUGGGUUGCAAAAGAAGUAGGUAGCUUAACCUUCGGGAGGGCGCUUACCACUUUGUGAUUCAUGACUGGGGUGAAGUCGUAACAAGGUAACCGUAGGGGGAACCUGCGGUUGGAUCACCUCCUUACCUUAAAGAA